AUUGGACGCUGGCGGAAUGCUUUACACAUGCAAGUCGAACGGCAGCACGGGGCAACCUGGUGGCGAGUGGCGAACGGGUGAGUAAUAUAUCGGAACGUGCCCAAUCGUGGGGGAUAACGUAGCGAAAGUUACGCUAAUACCGCAUACGAUCUACGGAUGAAAGCGGGGGAUCGCAAGACCUCGCGCGAAUGGAGCGGCCGAUAUCAGAUUAGGUAGUUGGUGGGGUAAAGGCUCACCAAGCCAACGAUCUGUAGCUGGUCUGAGAGGACGACCAGCCACACUGGAACUGAGACACGGUCCAGACUCCUACGGGAGGCAGCAGUGGGGAAUUUUGGACAAUGGGCGCAAGCCUGAUCCAGCCAUUCCGCGUGCAGGAUGAAGGCCUCGGUUGUAACUAGCUUUUGUUACGG
rnacentral:rRNA from 1 species